UUUUAUUAUUUUUAUCUAAAAAAAAUUUAUUUUACACUAAAAUUUGCAUGUAAACUUAUCUUUUACAAUAAAAA
rnacentral:tRNA from 1 species